rnacentral:rRNA from 1 species
UAACCUACCCAUCAGAGGGGGAUAACACUUGGAAACAGGUGCUAAUACCGCAUAACAGUUUAUGCCGCAUGGCAUAAGAGUGAAAGGCGCUUUCGGGUGUCGCUGAUGGAUGGACCCGCGGUGCAUUAGCUAGUUGGUGAGGUAACGGCUCACCAAGGCCACGAUGCAUAGCCGACCUGAGAGGGUGAUCGGCCACACUGGGGCUGAGACACGGCCCAG